rnacentral:rRNA from 1 species
GUAACGGCGAGUGAAGCGGCAACAGCUCAAAUUUGAAAUCUGGCCUCCUCGGGGUCCGAGUUGUAAUUUGUAGAGGGUGUUUCGGGCGCGAUGCCGGUCUAAGUUCCUUGGAACAGGACGUCGUAGAGGGUGAGAAUCCCGUAUGCGACCGGCGAUCAAGCCUGUGUGAAGCCCCUUCGACGAGUCGAGUUGUUUGGGAAUGCAGCUCAAAAUGGGUGGUAAAUUUCAUCUAAAGCUAAAUACUGGCCAGAGACCGAUAGCGGACAAGUAGAGUGAUCGAAAGAUGAAAAGCACUUUGGAAAGAGAGUCAAACAGUACGUGAAAUUGUUGAAAGGGAAGCGCUUGCAAUCAGACCGGUCCGGAGGUGAUCAGCCGCUGCUCGUCAGCGGUGCACUCGCCUGCGAUCCGGCCAGCAUCGGUUCGGGCGGUGGGAUAAAAGUCCCGGGAAUGUAGCUUCCUUCGGGGAGUCUUAUAGCCCGGGUCGCAAUGCCGCCCGCCCGGACCGAGGACCGCGCUUCGGCUAGG